rnacentral:rRNA from 1 species
GAUGAACGCUGGCGGCGUGCUUAACACAUGCAAGUCGAACGGAAAGGCCCAAGCUUGCUUGGGUACUCGAGUGGCGAACGGGUGAGUAACACGUGGGUGAUCUGCCCUGCACUUCGGGAUAAGCCUGGGAAACUGGGUCUAAUACCGGAUAGGACGAUGGUUUGGAUGCCAUUGUGGAAAGUUUUUUCGGUGUGGGAUGAGCUCGCGGCCUAUCAGUUUGUUGGUGGGGUAAUGGCCUACCAAGGCGUCGACGGGUAGCCGGCCUGAGAGGGUGUACGGCCACAUUGGGACUGAGAUACGGCCCAGACUCCUACGGGAGGCAGCAGUGGGGAAUAUUGCACAAUGGGCGCAAGCCUGAUGCAGCGACGCAGCGUGGGGGAUGACGGCCUUCGGGUUGUAAACUCCUUUCGCUAGGGACGAAGCGUUUUUGUGACGGUACCUGGAGAAGAAGCACCGGCUAACUACGUG